AUUGAACGCUGGCGGCAGGCCUAACACAUGCAAGUCGAGCGGAUGGGCAGACGGGUGCGUAAUGCAUAUGAAUCUGCCUGUGCGUGGGGGAUAGGGUCCGGAAACGGACGCUAAUGCCACUUCCUAUCGCAUGAGCAUAGGCCGGACUGGCUAGUUGGUGGGGUAAAGGCAUACCAAGGCGACGAUCCGUAACUGGUCUGAGAGGAUGAUCAGCCACACGGGAACUGAGACACGGUCCAGACUCCUACGGGAGGCAGCAGUGGGGAAUAUUGGACAAUGGGCGAAAGCCUGAUCCAGCCAUGCCGCGUGUAUGAAGAAGGUCUUCGGAUUGUAAAGUACUUUAAGUUGGGAGGCGUUACCAACAGAAUAAGCACCGGCUAACUUCGUGCCAGCAGCCGCGGUAAUAC
rnacentral:rRNA from 1 species